rnacentral:rRNA from 1 species
GGAAUAUUGCACAAUGGGCGCAAGCCUGAUGCAGCAACGCCGCGUGCGCGACGAAGGCCUUCGGGUCGUAAAGCGCUUUUCUGGAGGAAGAGAGCGGACGGUACUCCAGGAAGAAGGCUCGGCUAACUACGUGCCAGCAGCCGCGGUAAAACGUAGGAGCCUAGCGUUAUCCGAAUUUACUGGGCGUAAAGCGCAAGCAGGCGGCUUUGUAAGUUGGCUGUGAAAUCUCCCGGCUCAACUGGGAGGGGACGGUCAAGACUGCGGAGCUGGAGGCAGGUAGAGGGAGGUGGAAUUCCCGGUGUAGUGGUGAAAUGCGUAGAUAUCGGGAGGAACACCAGUGGCGAAAGCGGCCUCCUGGACCUGACCUGACGCUGAGGUGCGAAAGCUAGGGGAGCGAA